rnacentral:misc_RNA from 1 species
CACAUACUGCCCUUCUAAGUCUCUGCCCCACUUCAUGUCUUCCUUCUUGUCAAUAUUUUGGGUUCAAACCUACUGGUUUUUUCAGAUCACCUACCUAGGGUUAGUUGUUUGUCUCACCGCCUGUCCCUAAGGACGUCUAGGCCACCAACCGGCCAGCCAUCAAGAUCCCGUCAUUAGACCUCCAACGAAUGGCCCCCACGCGCCACUUUUGUUUUUCUGCCUUAUUUCACAUCCCGGCAAUUGAAAGUACGUGCGG